GUUUUAAGUAAAAUUUAAAGUAAAAAGUAAAGUAGUUAAAAAAGUAAAGUGAUUGUGAUGUACAUUUAUCUUAUGUGUUUUUAACAAUCGUGUAAUAUGAGAUAAGAAAGAAAUAUAUUCUUAUUUGAUAUUCUAAUGUUAAAUUAUUUCAACUUUGCGUGAACAUCUUCAAUCAAUGUGUACCAUGAAAAAUUCACGGAAAUACUUCAUCGAUGGACUUAAUCUACAUUUGCAUACACUUGUGAUGCGUGCGCACACAACAUGGCGCGAAAUUAAAAAUUUUUUCAUAAAUUUGAAAUCCACUAAUCCAAAGAUAAUACCGAUUCAAUAGAAUUUCUAUUUCUUGAUUGAUAUUUCGCUAAAUCAGGAUAAUUCAAUGGAUAUCCAAAAAUUCUUCGAUCCGGUAAAUAGAUAGAUGGCAGAUUGUAAAUGUAACGCC